CCUACGGGAGGCAGCAGUGGGGAAUAUUGCACAAUGGGGGAAACCCUGAUGCAGCGACGCCGCGUGAGUGAGGAAGUUUUUCGGUUUGUAAAGCCCUUUUAGUAGGGAAGAAAAUGACGGUAUCUGACUAAGAAGCCCCGGCUAACUACGUGCCAGCAGCCGCGGUAAUACGGAGGGGGCAAGCGUUACCCGGAAUUACUGGGCGUAAAGGGAGCGUAGGCGGUAAAGCAAGUCAGAUGUGAAAGCCUAUGGCUCAACCUUAGAACUGCAUUUGAAACUGUGAUGCUAGAGUGUGGGAGAGGUAGGCGGAAUUCUUGGUGUAGCGGUAAAAUGCGUAGAGAUUAAGAGGAACACCAGUGGCGAAGGCGGCUUGCUAGAACAUAACUGACGUUGAGGCGCGAAAGCGUGGGGAGCAAACAGGAUUAGAUACCCGUGUAGUC
rnacentral:rRNA from 1 species